AUGAAGCUGGAAUCGCUAGUAAUCGCGAAUCAGAAUGUCGCGGUGAAUACGUUCCCGGGUCUUGUACACACCGCCCGUCACACCAUGGGAGUCGGAAAUGCCCGAAGUCAGUGACCCAACCGUAAGGAGGGAGCUGCCGAAGGUGGAGCCGGUAACUGGGGUGAAGUCGUAACAAGGUAGC
rnacentral:rRNA from 1 species